ACUUAGGUGAGGUUUUGGAAUAAGUGUCAAAUGUUCGGACUCCUUAGUGUUUUUCCAUACGAUACAAGGUAAAAUGUUUUGCCCCAUAACACCUAUUAAUCUUUUAACAUAAGACUUAAUAGCUCAUAAAAGGUCAUUGGACAAAAAUUAAGCAGAUUCUUGAUUUUCUUUCUUUUGAUUUGAGACCCAAAUAAUACCAAUGCAAAUAUAAGGUAAAAGUCCGAGUCAGCCUUUUCCCGCCAUAUUUUAUAGAUAAAAUAUAUCGAAAAGGAGCUCCAUGACCUAUCAAUAUUUUUAGAUUAUUUUUAUCCUUACCU
rnacentral:lncRNA from 1 species